rnacentral:rRNA from 1 species
UGGGGGAUGAUGUCAAGUCAGCACGGCCCUUAUAGGGUGGGCUACACACGUGCUACAAUGGCAACUACAAUAGGUUGCGAGACCGCGAGGUUUAGCUAAUCCAAAAAAGUUGUCUCAGUUCGGAUUGUUCUCUGCAACUCGAGAGCAUGAAGUCGGAAUCGCUAGUAAUCGUGGAUCAUCAUGCCACGGUGAAUACGUUCUCGGGUCUUGUACACACUGCCCGUCACGCCAUGGGAAUUGGCUUAACUCGAAGCUGGUGAAAACCG